AUGAAACACUCCUACGGGAGGCAGCAGUGGGGAAUUUUGGACAAUGGGCGCAAGCCUGAUCCAGCCAUGCCGCGUGCGGGAAGAAGGCCUUCGGGUUGUAAACCGCUUUUGUCAGGGAAGAAAAGUUCCGGGCUAAUACCCUGGGAUGAUGACGGUACCUGAAGAAUAAGCACCGGCUAACUACGUGCCAGCAGCCGCGGUAAUACGUAGGGUGCAAGCGUUAAUCGGAAUUACUGGGCGUAAAGCGUGCGCAGGCGGUUGUGUAAGUCCGAUGUGAAAUCCCCGGGCUCAACCUGGGAAUUGCAUUUGAGACUGCACGGCUAGAGUGUGGCAGAGGGGGGUAGAAUUCCACGUGUAGCAGUGAAAUGCGUAGAUAUGUGGAGGAAUACCGAUGGCGAAGGCAGCCCCCUGGGAUAACACUGACGCUCAUGCACGAAAGCGUGGGGAGCAAACAGGAUUAGAUACCCCUGUAGGCCGAAGUUC
rnacentral:rRNA from 1 species